rnacentral:rRNA from 1 species
UACGUAGGGUGCGAGCGUCGUCCGGAAUUAUUGGGCGUAAAGAGCUCGUAGGCGGCCUGUCGCGUCGGAUGUGAAAGCCCGGGGCUUAACCCCGGGUCUGCAUUCGAUACGGGCAGGCUGGAGUUCGGCAGGGGAGAUCGGAAUUCCUGGUGUAGCGGUGAAAUGCGCAGAUAUCAGGAGGAACACCGGUGGCGAAGGCGGAUCUCUGGGCCGAUACUGACGCUGAGGAGCGAAAGCGUGGGGAGCGAACAGG